GUCUGUUUUCAACCUGUCUCUGAAUCUGCUAAGAUGGUUUAGUGGUUUCCACUCUUGUAUCUCCCUCCGAGCCGCGGUUCAAUCCCCAGACCUGGAACCUUUCUGAUGUUCUCUCAGACUUAUGUUGACAUACUGUUCUAUGACUUUUGUUCACUUCUUCCAGACUCAUGUUGAAUAAGUAGAGUGACAUUUAAACGGUGGGAAAACAAUCUCACAGUGACAGUGAGAUCUGAUUAACUACAAAAUCAUCAUCAUCAUCAUCAUCAUAUCAUCAUCAUUACAAUAACAGAUAGUUGUUAGGCAGAAAAUGUCAUAUUAAAAACAAAAAUAGUAUAUUUAAUGUAUUUACAAUAAACAUACAAUCAUGUAAUAUUUUCCAAGAAAUAUACAGAACAUAAAGCUUUUAAAUAUAAAUUCAUAUAUUCUAAAGGGGAAAAAAAUAAAAAAAAAUCCAAAGAAGCAAUAGAGCAUAUCUAAAAAUCUUUAGUGAUGCUUUGAAAAUAUAGGUGAUAUUAAUGUCAUUUUCUUUUCCAAGUCCCCCCUGCAAAGUGUCAUGAAGUUCCUCCUGAACCCCCCCCCCCCCCCACAACAUAAGCACAUCACUCUGAACCACAUGGUUAGCACAUGGUCUCUCUACAGUCAGAGGCCUGCUGCCUCAAGGCUCAAACCCAAGGAUUAGUUAUCUGCAUACGAAGAGUUUGCUCCCAAAAUAACAUCCGUCGUUUACAAAAAGUGACUAUCGUAAGAAAUAAUUAAUAGCAACAAAAACACAUCAUGGGCAUAUUUACAGGAUAACUGUCCAUCGAUGUCAAAAUGUCUCUUGAAUGAUAAACCUCAGGACAUUGUUUUUGCCCAGACAUGUCUAUAUUUUGGCGGUAAACUCUUCAUAUGUCCAUCCUUCUGUCACUAAAGAUCCGCUAUAAAAAAAUCAACCUGCUGUUACCGCAAAGCAAGGUCAUCAAAAGAGAAUAAUGAGGAAAAAUAGGAUGUAAAAAAACAUUUAUGCUCCAAAGUUAUUUUCUCAUCACAAGGCCAAACAGUCCUGUCGCCACAGGUGAAUACAAGGUCAAGCACGCGCUGUCACACGUGCCAGCGCAUCAGACAGACCUAAAAUAUGUCGUCUUCUUCUUUGUGAGUGUUGAACGUUACAGUGCACAGGUUGAUAUGGCACAACAUCAGAUAACGUCUCAAAGUAGAGCUUAAUAUCCAGGCACAGGUGCAGGACAGCGAUCCGUGAAGUUCGUCGACCUGAUCUACUGUACAGUGUCAGGCUGUAACUUAACAUUGGUGCCACUUAUUUCAAGCAAAGUUCUGUUUUUAUUUGGACCAAAGCAACAAACAGCUAUCAGCUUCGCCACUGAUGAAAAGAGAGAUUCAUCUAAAUUAGACAGUACCUUCACUAGUAGAAAAGUCCUACAUAUUAACAGUUAUUACAUCUUAAAUAAUAGGCCUACUGUUUUCUAGACCCAUAUACAAUAUUUUAUAGGCAAUAUGUUUUUGGGACACUUUUUGUAUGAUAUGGUUAACGUAAGAGGAGGGUUAUCACAGAAAGGCUACAUACAGCUGGAGGACCUGCUCUGAGCUCCAGCGUGGUGAGACAGAGUCCUCUGCAGAACUUUACAGAACACUUCUAUGUGUCACUUUGGCACUUGUAUGGCACUAAUAUGUACAGAGGAGUCAGCACUAUAACACACCGGACGUUACAGAUAUCACAGACAGUGUCACCUGUCGGGGGUUACUGAGGAGAAUAUGGUUGCUAGCUCGUAAUGUUGGUUAACAUCUCCUCCUCGUUAGACGUUUUUACAUCUCAGCAUAAUGUCCAGCUGUCCUGAAUGUCCUGCUAGGAGACAAACGUCCCAUCAGGGACAGUCAAGUUUUGAGCUUGGAAACUGUUUUAAGCAAAAAAUCUUUUUUUAAGAAUUUUCACUGCUGUGCUAAAAAUCUGUAUUUAUACUAUUAGUUCCCAUCACACCAAGCAGACAUUAGUCUGGCAUGGCUCUGUCAUUGUUGAUCUCCAACAUUCUCUAACAACUGUCUCUUUUCCCCAUUUUAUAUCAUAUUCUCUUUAUUAUUUAUGAUACUGAAGCAUUAUCAAUGUAUCGUUUAAAUUGUGUUCACUGAAGUGCCAAACCAAAUACAUCAUAUGAGUUAAGUGGAUCCAAGAUAAAUACCACCAUUUGCAAAAAAAAUGUACUCAUAAAACAUGAGCGGCAGCAUAAAAUGAGACUGAAUCAGGGAACUUUAACUUACAAGAACAGUUAAACGUUUUAGGAAAUAUGCUCAUUUGAUUUCUUGCAGAGAGUCAGAUAAGAAGAUUGAUUCCACUCUCAUGUCUGUAGGGUACAACCAGCUCUGGAACUAAAAAUCUACCUAGCAGCAUCUCUUAAUCUAUUAACACCUUAUAUCUAAUUUCUUUAAACCGUCCAUAAAGCAGACACGUUUCACUUUGACGGAGGAGUUGUGUGCACGACUGUUCCUUGGCGGUGCGGUGACUUCCUGGACUCUUGUCACCCCUGUAACGUUGCCAGGCAACCACCAAAGGCAACAACUUGUUUUUACAGUUUUGUAUGGAUUGAAAAAAAAAAUUGCUUAAGGAUUAUAGGUGUUUUUUUAGUUUUUUUUUUACCUUUGCACAAAGCCAGGCUAGCACGUUGCCCCCAUCUCCAGUCUUUAAGCUAAGCUACUGCUAGCUCUAGCUUCACAUUUAAUGUUCAAAUAUGAGAGUGGUAUCAAUCUAUUUGUCUAAUUCUCGGCAAUAAAUUGUCGUUUUCUUUUAGGUUUUUUUCUUAGUUUUUUUCUUUUUUUACAAAAUGUUAAAAUUCUCCUUUAAGCCCCACCUCCAAACAUCAAAGGGAUGAUAUCUAGACUAUUGCGAUGGUGAUUGGCUGGACAAAGGUCCAUAUUUUUGAUGCAAAACAUAUUAAAUACUUACAAAGUAAGCCAGGAAAAAACAAUAUAUUCUCUCUAUAAACUGGAUAUGUCAGAAAUCAGAAUCCCAUAGAAUUUCUGAAAACUAAACUACCCUUUGGAAAAAAAACCAUCUGUGUUUAGACAACCACUGCAGUGUGAGUGAUCGAGAGUCAGCUGAGGUUUGCUAAAAAUGUUCAACAUCACAAUGCAGUAUGCAUUAUAAAGCUUUUCCAUGGUCUUAGAUAGAAUUUAGUGGCCAUUGAAGUUAAAUGUGCAUUUAACCAUUACCACCAAACCACAGAGUCUGUGCAGCUUAGUGACAUACUAAAUAUAUAUAUAUAUAUUUUUUUUUAUCAUUGCAUGCAUUACCAGCAUGCUUUUAAAUGAACUAAUUGUGGCUGGACACUGUGCGGCAUGCUAUGCUGUGUCUGCUGACAGCUAGCCUACCACAAUCAGCAUGUCUCGCUGCCUUGACUUGGCGUUCUACUUUAAUGUCUUCACACUCUGUGCGCUCAUGUGAGCUUUGCUGCGGUUACUGAUUGUUUUGUUGAAGGCCUCCUCCCCCACGGCCUCCUCCCCCACAGCCUCCAACAGCUUUGGCCCUACUACAUACAUGUACCCUGGAGAGUCUUCUUUGCAACGUUCCCUGCUUAUUUAUCAUGUUGCUGUGUAUUCCAUGCAUUACUGCUGCAGGGGGCAUCCCCUAGGAGUAGAAUUACACCACCAAGUCAAACUAUAUUUCUGUCUCCAUUUGUCAUUGACAUGAGUGUUCCUGGCAGAGUUAUAAUGGUGGCACGGUCAAAUCGGUGGAUAGAGAGAUAGUCAUGUAACUGAAAUGUCACAGGUCCAGUUACUGAAUCAGCUCAUGUACUGUAGGUAUUGUCCAACUAUUCAUAGGUGGGCCACCAAACUCCUCUAUCCUCUCUCACAGUCUGUUGCUUUUUAGAUCACUUUUACUUUUAAAGUUGCACCUAAUUUCAACAAAAUGGUGUGAUGUUAAAAAAAAAAAACAUUCUGUGACUCUGGAACAUAAAAUUUGUUUCCGAAUCUCGUCCAGCAUUCAUAGAAAAACUCCACACUGUGACACAGUAAAGGGAUCAUUAGAACAUACAGGCUCAACACUCCUCUAACUCCAACAAAUGUCCUAAACCUCUAGGACAAGAACAGGCAGAUCACAUUGAGAGACUCUGCUCCUUAUUUGUCUUUUUUAAUCUGAAUAAUUUGUGCAACUCAAACUGAAGAGUUUGGUUCUAAAAUGGAAUAUCCACCCUUUAGGCACAGUGACCUCUACUAAAAUCACCGGUGACAAAAAAAAGUGACUUCUGUAUCAGUAUUGUUGUAAACUUCACUUUUGAGAAGAUAUUGAACAUUAACCGCACAAAUACGAUGUAUUGUCAAAACUACAUCUUCCAUUAAUUUCCACUGUAAGUGUAUAUUAAGAUGAAAGAAGAAUGCAGGCAUUGUGUAAUGGGUUAGAAAUGAAUUGGGGUCCAGAUUUUGUCUCUACUUGACCCUGAUGCUCUGAGGCCAUGUAGCCAUGUAACAGGGACCUCUCUGCUGCUGAUGGAAUAUGUUCCCAGGAUUAUGCCUCCUCCUGUACUCCUAGUUCUUGUUGUUGCUGAUUUGUUGGGUUGCCUUUGCUUCUUGUGUGAUGUGCUUCUUUAGUCAAUGUCUGUCUUUUCCUAUUUGUUAUGUUAAACUUUUAAAACUUUUAAAGAAUUGAUUGAGGGAACACACAAGUCUGUUAAUGAGUUUGUAGUUGGCUUUCCUGUAGUUACAACGGUAUCUUCUGUUUUUCUGGAAAAGUACUCCGAUCAUGAGCUAAAAUAUGCAUCAGUUAUUACGAACAACUAUGAUGACUGUCAUCUUUUCUAUCUGGCAUCUGGACCUGAGAAGCACUUCCUUCUAA